CCCAGGAUAUACUGGAGUGAAUGCUC
rnacentral:piRNA from 1 species